rnacentral:rRNA from 1 species
GACGAACGCUGGCGGCGUGCUUAACACAUGCAAGUCGAACGGAAAGGCCCUGCUUGCCGGGUACUCGAGUGGCGAACGGGUGAGUAACACGUGGGUGAUCUGCCCUUCACUUCGGGAUAAGCCUGGGAAACUGGGUCUAAUACCGGCUAGGAGCCAUUUUUAGUGUGAUGGUUGGAAAGUUUUUUCGGUGUAGGAUGAGCUCGCGGCCUAUCAGCUUGUUGGUGGGGUAAUGGCCUACCAAGGCGGCGGCGGGAAGCCGGCCUGAGAGGGUGGACGGCCACAUUGGGACCGAGAGACGGCCCAGACGCCGACGGGAGGCAGCAGUGGGGAAGAUUGCACAAGGGGCGCAAGCCGGAUGCAGCGACGCCGCGGGGGGGAUGACGGCCUUCGGGUUGAAAACACCUUUCGCUAGGGACGAAGCUUUUUGUGACGGUACCGAGAGAAGAAGCACCGGCUAACUACGUG